GCAGAGAAACCGCGGUUCUCCGCGACCUCGCCUCCUCUCUCUCUUCUCACCGCUCCCCUCCUCCUCCUCCCCCCUCCUCGAGCAGGGGGGCGGGGCGGCGGCAUCCCGAUGCUUACUCCUCGCGGCGGCGUGCCUCCCGCGGCCUCGUUCGAUCCCCCGGAAGCGGCCUGGGCGGGUGGGUGGAGGCCGCGGCGCGGUGGGGGGAUUUUUUUUUUCUUCAGCUGCCUGCUCGAGCUCGCAAACAUUGCGGCCAGACAGGUGCUGGAAAGGUGAUGCCCCAUGUUCUCAGUACUUGUUAGGUGUAUUGAUGGCCAGAAGGCAGCCCUCGGUUUAGGCUGCCACUUUCUAGUAUAUGACUGUCUUCCAUGGUGUUAAGACACGACAUGGAAGUAUCGAUUAUUGGUUUUUCAUCCCACUCUUCAUGCAGCAUUUGAUUGAUGAUGAGGUAAAGGAAAUCAGCAAUGAAGUUUGAACCGAAUUUAAGAUGAUUAACACAUUGAGGUGAGUGCUUCCAACUUCCAAGGAGGAUAGAUUAACAUCAUAUCACUGGUCGGAAAGACAAUA